GCGAGAAUUGGUUCUGCCCCCCUUUUAGCACUGGCCUCUGCAUAUCAGCAUUCUAUGAGGACAGUGUAUUGAGACCCAACAGCUGUCUUCAGGCACACCAGAAGAGGGCAUCGGAUCCCAUUACAGAUGGUUGUGAGCCACCAUGUGGUUACUGGGGAAUUGAACUCAGGACCUCUGGAAGAGGAGUUAGCACUCUUAACCGCUGAGCCAUCUCUCCAGCCCUCCACCUAGUUUUUAUUUCCAGAAUAUCCUCUCCCGUUGGAGGCUCCUCUGCUUGUCUGCUUGAUGGCUUUUGAGCUUGUAAUCCACAAGAGAGGUGUGGCCCACCUCAUCUUCCCUCUGACCAGCUAGAGAAGCUCACUCACCUCUCAGCCUCAGUGUCCUUGUGUCUGAAGCGGAACUACUAACAGCAUUUACUUCGUAUAGUUGUGAGAAGCAUUCACUGGGAUUAUCCACGACUUUCAGUUCCAAGUUCAAAAUUCUAAGUUGGCUCAAGUGCUGCCCUAACCUGAUGUUCUCACCGGGUUCUCCGGCCACAUCCCCGUCUGUGCUUGCACUAUGUGCUCCAGUAAAUAAGAAGGCGUUCUGUUUUACCUUCACUUUUUGCAUGUACACAUCCUCUCUACCACCAACGGGUUAAAAGAGUGAAGUUGAGUCAUCUCUGUAAGGCAGACCAUUCCGGGGCUAUGCAUAGAGACGCUGAUGUGGGAGACCUUUGAGGUCAUGAGUUUGACUCGUGGAAGUUAGCCAUGUGGUUACUGUUGUUGGUGAUUAUCAACUGGACGUUUGAGUAGGAAGUCUUCACAAAGUGCAUAUUAAAUAAAUGAAGCUCCAACUUUAAUAUGAAACAAUUCAGAAGAUAAUUUGAAUAACAAUAAGGGGAAAUAGAAGAAUAAGUAUGAAAAGUGUCUUCCAUUUUAAAGAACUUGGGGAAUAAUCUUGAAUUAUUUAAAUUCAAUGGUAACCACAAUGUAUUGAUAAGUUCAAACAUCUUGACACCAUAAAAUUCUCUCAGUAUACCUCUAUUCUUACCGUGCAAUUUCAUGAUUUAGAACACGGAGAAGAAUUCUAGCUGUCUUAGAAA
ensembl:lncRNA